rnacentral:rRNA from 1 species
GUGCAGCAGUCGCGAAACCUCCGCAAUACGCGAAAGCGUGAAGGGGUCAUCCCGAGUGCCGUCCGCUGAGGAUGGCUUUUCCCCAGUGUAGACAGCUGGGGGAAUAAGGAGAGGGCAAGUCGGGUGUCAGCCGCCGCGGUAAUACCAGCUCUCCGAGUGGUGGGGACGCUUAUUGGGCCUAAAGCAUCCGUAGCUAGCUGGGCAAGUCCCCUGUUAAAUCCAGCGAUUUAAUCGUUGGACUGCGGGGGAUACUGUCCGGCUAGGGGGCGGGAGAGGCCGACGGUAUUUCCGGGGUAGGGGUGAAAUCCUAUAAUCCCGGGAGGACCACCAGUGGCGAAGGCUGUCGGCUAGAACGCGCCCGACGGUGAGGGAUGAAAGCUGGGGGAGCGAACCGGAUUAGAUACCCGGGUAGUCC